UACAGAGGGGGCAAGCGUUAUUCGGAAUCACUGGGCGUAAAGGGUGCGCAGGCGGUUUUGUAAGUCAGAUGUGAAAUCCCCGGGCUUAACCUGGGAACUGCGUUUGAAACUACAAGGCUAGAGUGUGGCAGAGGGGGGUGGAAUUCCACGUGUAGCAGUGAAAUGCGUAGAGAUGUGGAGGAACACCGAUGGCGAAGGCAGCCCCCUGGGUUAACACUGACGCUCAGGCACGAAAGCGUGGGGAGCAAACAGG
rnacentral:rRNA from 1 species